rnacentral:antisense_RNA from 1 species
CUUGACCGAGCCCAGCAGAAGCGGCUGUCCGUCCCGCCGCUGCCUGCCGUAGGUGGCGAGCAGGGCCUGCGCCUC